UGCGGUGUACGUACCGCCGAGUUGCUACUUGUUACACCGCGUUACUUUUGUUUCGAUCCCGUCUGUAUAAAUCGUACCUUUUAGCGUGUCUCAAUGAUGUCCGAAUUUCGUAGAAAUGUUUAUAAAAUGCAGAGAUCAAGUCUUUCGAAUUUUUUUCACGAGAUGCAGUCCAAUUCUAGCACUCUGGCAUCAACCAAUAAAGGACGUGGAUACACACACACAAUGCAGAAUGGGAAAUUUUCUCUAAAAAAAGCGACCUACGCAACGAUGCGAAAAAUAUAACAGAUCCAAUAGCAAUAUUGAAAUUAUUUUUUGAUGCGCAGUUUGUAAAAAUUAUUAUGGAUGAGACAAAUAGGUACGCCGAGCAAAAUUUAUGUAAUAAAAUACUUCCACUAAGAUCACCACUAAGACAAUGGACACUUGUAUCGAUAGAUGGAAUGUUAUGAUGCUAGCAUUUGAUUUAUUGAUGGCGAUGGUAAAUAAUAAAUCCACCAUGAAAGCAUA